CCGGGGAGCUGAACAGCCAGCAAUAAAGAAAGACACCCUAAAUUACUGCAAGCAGAAGAAGUCUUGCUCAAGGCUGUGCGGUGCCUCAGCGGGGAUCCAUGUAAAGCAGCCGGCGUGAGAGGACGUGACACGACCUGCCGCAGGAAUUGUACUGAAACUCGGAGCAUGUCAGAGCAGGAGAGCAUCAGGGCAAUGACUGAUGAAGAUUAGCCCAGAUAGCGAGGAGGAAUGGCAACAAAAGGCGUGCACACCUCUGUGGAAAGGCUGCAUGAGGAAUGCUCCACCGGCAGCACGGCGCUGGGCCCCAGCAAAGCCAGCACCAGACAGGUGCCCCCUGCCCUAGCACGGGCCAGGGUUCACUGCAAAUACUGCCAAACCAUAGGGGAGAUACCUGGAAUAAAAAAUAAAAUAAAAUAAAA